rnacentral:piRNA from 1 species
UACCAGAGUUUUCCUUCGACAGUGAGAAGA